CGAAAGAACUUCAAAACAUUUAACGAUGAUGAAAACGGUCUACACUUCUUUCCCAGUCCGAUAUCGACCAUGACGAUAUGGGAGUCUACCAUGUUGUUGUCUUACGGGGCAACGACUUUUUAAGCCAGUACAUGCUUUGACAUGUACAAUUUAGAUCAUCUGAGUUUUCUCUUUUUAGUUUUCUUAAGGUCAAAGUAACAGUGAAACAAGAUCCAUCGUCGUAUCUUCUGUUGCAUU